GGAGCCUCCCUGGCCCCGCCUCAACCCCCCUCAGCACCAUCCUUCUGGUGUGAAGCCCCUUCCCCAUCUGCGCUCAGAGACACCGGGUGAACAGCCUUCAGCCAGAGAUGCCCGGGUGCAGGACCCCUCUGACAGGAGGAGAGACACGCAGGACAGGGAGGCUGUGUGGCUGCAGAUGCUGACCGGACGCAGCUGCCAUAAGCUGGAAGAGGCAGAAAACAAAUGCUCCCCCUGCCAACCGGCCCUGGAGGGAAGGUGGCCCUGUGGACACCUUGAUUCUGAACUUCUGGCCUCCAGAACUAGCAGAGAAUAAAUUUCUUGUGGUCUAA